CGUUUCAUUCGUCUCGUGGCGUCGCGGCGCUCUCAUAUGUCAGUCUAUGUUUGCUCGACCGUCAGCAAAGACGAGCGACGUAACGCGUAUUAACGUAAACUACGAAAACAACACAUUUUGCAAGUGCCGCGAGAAAACAAGAUUAGUUUUAGGUCGCGCUUGUUUUUGGUAACUCGGAAUUUUCUCUAUUUUUCGCCGACACAAUAACUCGAUUGAAAAAAGAUAGUGAUACAGUUCAACUUCCAUCAAUAGAUUCGAGUUUCUAGAAAUAGAAGAGCCUUGUUGUUAAAAAGAAAUUGAUAGUAUUGCAAUUUGAUUAUAUUAAAUAUGAAAAGCUGAAUGUGACUGUCAAGAGCAAGUUGCAAGUUAAUUCGAUUUAAAUUGCUUGCGAAUUAGAUUUGUCUAUCAAUUGUCUUCUUCCCAUUCACGCAAAGAUAUUAAAAGGAUAUUUGGAGUUGUCCAAAUUUUCAAUUAUACUCGCGUGAUUAGCUUUAUUCGAAUCAAACUUUUACACGAUCAGAUCCACUUUCAUAUUCUUCGUUUUCUUCGUCUACUUCUUAUCCAAUUUUAUUAUUUUAUAAAUAUAUUAUAAAUUUAAUUAUCAGAAACAAUUAAUGCUCCUGGCAGGAGAAAAUUUCAACGGGAAGAUAAUGCGGACACAUGCACAGUUAUAAUCUCAAAGAUCCUGAUUUUCAAAUUUGAUUGCGGUCAAUGACAUCUCGACGACUUGAAAAAAAUACACAGAUAACUGAGUACAUAGAGUAAAGUGUGCAAAUAAAUUCUUUACAUGAAGUCAGUAAAAUAAAAACUCCCAAGAGUUUAUCUCGUGAGAUAAAAGCCUGAAAAAUUAAGAUGAUAACGGUACCGAUGUCAGCCUCCAGUCCCUACAUGAAGGUCACGUCUUACAGCGAUGCCAGUACAGCUGUCAAAAAGCCCUUGAUUCAACAGUUUUUAAGAGACAUGAAGGAACAUUCGGCAGCCCAGAGAAUGGAGAGAGAUAAGGAUUUGCCGCAACGCUCACAAAGCAGCGCUGCUACUUUGACGUCUAUAGGGGCCGAUAUAUCUCCAAGUUCUUCCCAAUUUUUCGAGGUAUUCUACGUUGGCAAAAUUAAAGUAUCGCAUCCAAAAGUACCGGAAUCCUUCAUUGAUGACGCUUUAAUAAAAUUUCGCGUUCAUGGAAUCGAGAAAACCAGGUCUUCGACGAGCAAUCUUUUGUCAGAUUGUCAACGAUUGAAACGCCAAGCUUUGAUGUCUUCCAUUAAUAGAAGAAAUAGUACGGAAUCUACCGCUAGCGAAUCAGGCAGUAUCGAGAACGUGUCGAAAAACAGUAUAAUUCCAAAUGUGAAUCCGCUUGGAAUUCCGCCAGUUUUAAGCAGUUCCGUGGAAACUUUUCCAAGAACAACUACUAAUCUCAUGGAAAAUGACAGUCGUGAUGAGAAUCAAAUGUCCGAAUCUUCCGCUAAUUCUAAUAUCACUGUACCUGAUGUUAUGCGAAGUCGCGCGGCGUCUACCGGCAGCGUUUUAAAUGGCAGGAGAGAUUCUAAUUCUAUUAAAGGAAACGAUGAGCAUAAUCGUACUAUGCUGUUUCAAGUAGGGCGGAUUGAUUUGAGAUUGAUUAGCCCAGACAGAAAGCAGGUUCUUCUACACAAGCAAUUAAAGGACAUAGCCAGUUGUGCGCAAGGUGCGAAAAAUCCGGAUCACUUUGGAUUUAUUUGCAAAGAAUCGGAAUGCUUCAUCGGAUACGUCUUCAAAUGCCAAUCUGGAUCAGUCGCGGAUGAUCUUGUUGCAGCAAUUAGCCAAGCUUUUGUUACAACCAAUACUAUCACGAGAAAGGAAAAGUAUUCUGUAUUUUCUUGUGAUCAUUGCCCCAUGUACUGGUACAAUAAACUAUGUCAGGAGAUUGAAGGACAAAAUGAUAAGAAAGUGCAAAGCAUUAUCUUAUCGCGUAUGGAAUUAUUACCGGAGGAUGAGCAGGAGAUUGUUGUGAGCAAGUAUAAGAGCGCCGAAGCUGCGGGUAACAUUAGUACGAGCUCCGCGAGUCAAAAUCAAUUCCUAAUGCGAUUGUUGCGUGCACAUUGCGAAUUAAAACAAGCCAGACAUGUACACGAUACGGCUGAGAAUAGGAGUGAAUUUCUCAAUCAAUAUCUAGGCGUCGGUGUUGGUAGUACGAUAUUUAUGAAAGCGAAACGCUCUCUUACAAAUAGCUUUGAUAAUCUUAUGAAGAGGAAAGGUUCGCGUGACGAUUUUGGUCUGGGUCCACAAUUGCGCGAUUCGAAUCAUCUGAAUACGAGGAUGCAAAAGAAUGAUAGUCAAAGUCCAGAUAGCUCGAGGCAACCAUCUAUAUUAGACAUCUCGCCGGAAUCUAGUAGACCGAGAUCAUUACGUGUCUCGCCUGAACAGCAGAUAGUUAUAAAUAAUGGACCAAAGAGUUCUAUGAUGGACAUCUUUUUAAAAGUUGGUAACUCGCCAAAAACAUCUCCUACGGAAACUGAGGGGGGUAACACGAUACAAACCAAUAGUUCGUGGCGGCAAACAAUACUAAACAGAGUCGUGACGCCGAGUAAAGAUCACAACGCCACAGAAAAUGAGAAAGUUAGCAUCAUCAAAAAUUUAGAAACGCCCGUUAAACGUAGAACGAAACAAGAAUUACGAGAUUUGUGGAAGAAAGCGAUUAAUCAACAACUAAUACUCAUAAGAAUGGAAAAGGAGAAUGCAAAGCUUAGAGAACGUCAAGAGGAAGCAACGGUAAAAAGAAUUAAACUGGAAUAUGACGAACUCAGUAGCUGUGCACGUGAAGUGGUAGAAGUUUGGGAUCUUCUUGUUAGUAAGGAAUCGCGAGUCUCCACUAAAUGUGAUAAUCAAAUGCUUUUGCACGCUAUCAAACAAGGUGUACCGAAAGGAAAGAGAGGUGAGGUUUGGCAAUUUCUAGCAGAACAAUUCUGCUUAAAACAACCGCCUAUAGAUACUCAAAAUUUUCCAAAUUAUAAUACACCCUACGAAUUACUCCUGAAGCAACUCACAUCGCAACAGCAUGCUAUUCUUAUUGAUUUGGGGAGAACGUUCCCGAAUCAUCCGUACUUUAGCUCACCUUUGGGACCUGGUCAGUUAGCACUCUUCAAUUUAUUAAAAGCCUAUUCUUUGUUGGAUCACGAAGUUGGUUAUUGUCAAGGCCUCAGUUUCGUCGCCGGAGUACUUCUAUUGCAUAUGGCAGAGGAUCAAGCCUUUUUCUUAUUACGACAUUUGAUGUUUCGCCGAGGACUUAGAAAAUUGUAUUUGCCAGAUAUGGCAGCAUUGCAAUUGCACUUGUAUCAGCUCUCUAGACUGUUACACGACCGCUUACCAACAAUUUAUAAUCAUUUUGACAAACAUGAAGUUUCGCCUACAUUAUAUGCUGCUCCGUGGUUGCUAACUUUAUUUGCCAGCCAAUUUCCUUUAGGUUUUGUGACCAGAGUUUUUGAUCUACUUUUUCUGGAAAACUCCGAAGUCCUCUUUCGUGUAUCGGUUGCAUUAUUAGAAGAACAUCAAGAUCAAUUAUUAUGCUGCGAUAACUUCGAAGAAAUUAUGGAAUAUCUCAAAACACGUGUGCCAGCAGUGGACAAACAAAGUUUGGAUCGCAUAAUGAAACGUGUAUUUUAUCCUGAUUUGGAAAUCUCAAAACAAUUAAACGAAUACAGAGUGGAAUAUCAAGUGCUUCAAGAGGAAAUGAUCUCAGUGAAACCACAAAUGGAGAAUUUGGAGAAAUUCAAAUUCCAGAACAAGCAACUCACACAAGAAGUCACACAACUUAGCGAACAACUUGAGAUUACUAUGAGCAAUUUGCACAGACUCGAAACGGCGCGCUCGAUGCAACAAGCGACUAUCCAUAGAUUCGAGUCUCAGAAUCGCAGUCUUGAAGUAACAGUAGCCACAUUAGGCGCGUUUAUUCAGCAAUUAGUGGAUACACGUGCCGAUAUCGAAGUAUCAGGCGAAGUUCGUCGGAUAAUUGCACAGCUGAAUAUGGUGGAGAAACGACGAAAUCCAAGCACUAAAUCGUAUCCUCUGAAAGUUAUCGAGGACAACAAAUACGGAAUGAUAAAAAGUAAUUCUACCGGUAGAGAAUCUCAAAAUAUUAUUAGAAAUAAUAGUAUGGAUACACCGUAUCCUUUAAAAUCGACUUUGAGUCAACCCAAUCUAGCGACAAAAUUAGAGAAAGUCUCUUCGUUCUUUUCGAAUUCGCACAAUCAUAUACAAAAGCAGCGCGCACAGUUAGCGGCUCUUAGAAACGAAUACUCGGAACAAACUAUGAGAGGUAACAAUGAUGAAAAUGACCCCAAAACGGUCAACAUUGACAUUCAAAUUACGGAUACUAUGAAUCUGGUUAACAAUCCACAACCGCAAAACGAGAACAAUUUAAAAGUUCCGGCUACCAAUUUGGAGAAAUCGAUAUCGUUGCCAUUAAAACUUAAGUUAAAAUCAAAGUCUACGUAUGAAUUAGGAUCCGUAAAGAAGGUUCCCACCAGUAAGCUCGAAGUUACGAGUAACGAUUCGUUAACGAAUCUAACAGGGACUGUACAUCCACUUGACACUUGUAGCGAUGUGAAUUUCCGAUAUGGCGGAACCACGAAAUUAAAGUCUAUUAAACCUAUUAGAUUAUCUAGUCCGAGUUGUCAGGAAGAUUGUGAUAAUGACAAACAAAAACCUGACCAAAGGGCCUCCGAUUCUUUAAAUAGAUAACAAUUACUUUCGAAUACGUCUUCAAAGAGUAUUUUAUCAAAGAGAAUCUUCAUAAAAAACAUGUAUUUGAAACGAUAUUGGAAAAUUUCAAAACGACCGCGUAAUUUAUUUAUUUAAUUAUGAAAAGAAACAAAGAUUUUUAAUUUAUAUUGAGAUCUGAUAUCAUUUUUUACAAUUUAUAAAAAUUAGCCAAAUAUUAAAGUGUAGUAUUUAAUAUGACAUGAAAAUAUUGUAUGCAGGUAAAUACGAGGGUUACUAUUUAUAUUUCGGGAACUUUGCAACACUGAUGUCAUGUGAGUCUAUC